UGGGGGAUAUUGCACAAUGGGCGAAAGCCUGAUGCAGCGACGCCGCGUGGGGGAUGAAGGCCUUCGGGUUGUAAACUUCUUUUGCUCUGAACAAGGCAUGCUAAUGGGUGUGUUGAGUGUAGGGGUUGAUUAGCGCCGGCUAACUACGUGCCAGCAGCCGCGGUAAUACGUAGGGCGCGAGCGUUGUCCGGAAUUAUUGGGCGUAAAGGGCUUGUAGGUGGCUGGUUGCGUCUGUCGUGAAAGCUCAUGGCUUUACUGUGGGUUUGCGGUGGGUACGGGCUGGCUUGAGUGCAGUAGGGGAGGCUGGAAUUCCUGGUGUAGCGGUGGAAUGCGCAGAUAUCAGGAGGAAUACCGGUGGCGAAGGCGGGUCUCUGGGCUGUUACUGACACUGAGGAGCGAAAGCAUGGGGAGCGAACAGG
rnacentral:rRNA from 1 species